ensembl:rRNA 5S_rRNA 5S ribosomal RNA
GCCUACGACCAUAUCACCCUGAAUGCGCCCGAUCUCGUCUGAUCUCGGAAGCUAAGCAUGAUCGAGCCUGAUUAGUACUUGGAUGGGAGACUGCCUGGGAAUAGCAGGUGUUGUAGGCU